UUGGGUGCCUAUAUCGGUGGUGUUCACCUCUUCCCAUUCCGAACAGAGCAGUUAAGCCCACCCGAGCCGAUGGUAUUGCCGUAACAGGUGGGAGAGUAGGUCGGUGCCUUCU
rnacentral:rRNA from 1 species